GGAGCAUAGAUCAACUAAAAUAGCCGUCAUUUCAGGCGUGGGAACCCGUCAUUAUUAUAGGAAACUGGGCUAUGAGCUUGAAGGCCCCUACAUGGUUAAAUGUCUUGCUUGACAUUAACAAGGCUAGCUAAUAUGUGAUUGCAACAAAAUUUUGUAAUUUAUGCCAGUGGAAAGUUUUAACUUUUAAUUAAUCAUUUCUUUGUAUAAUUUAUGUUUUAUGUAGCUUUUUGUUGUCCUUUUACCUCUUUGAAAAACGUUUUCGUCGGCCAGAUAAAGGUUAGAUUUCAGCUUUAAAGUAUUUUGUACUAUCAAAUAAAUUUAAUAAUAAUUCAUUAUUG
rnacentral:misc_RNA from 1 species